rnacentral:rRNA from 1 species
UAGGGAAUCUUCGGCAAUGGGGGCAACCCUGACCGAGCAACGCCGCGUGAGUGAAGAAGGUUUUCGGAUCGUAAAGCUCUGUUGUAAGAGAAGAACGUGUGUGAGAGUGGAAAGUUCACACAGUGACGGUAACUUACCAGAAAGGGACGGCUAACUACGUGCCAGCAGCCGCGGUAAUACGUAGGUCCCGAGCGUUGUCCGGAUUUAUUGGGCGUAAAGCGAGCGCAGGCGGUUUAAUAAGUCUGAAGUUAAAGGUAGUGGCUUAACCAUUGUUCGCUUUGGAAACUGUUAAACUUGAGUGCAGAAGGGGAGAGUGGAAUUCCAUGUGUAGCGGUGAAAUGCGUAGAUAUAUGGAGGAACACCGGUGGCGAAAGCGGCUCUCUGGUCUGUAACUGACGCUGAGGCUCGAAAGCGUGGGGAGCAAACAGG